rnacentral:rRNA from 1 species
GGCGGCGUGCUUAACACAUGCAAGUCGAACGAUGCAACCGGUUUCGGCCGGGGAUUAGUGGCGAACGGGUGAGUAACACGUGGGCAAUCUGCCCUGCACUCUGGGACAAGCCCUGGAAACGGGGUCUAAUACCGGAUAUGACGCGUUCCCGCAUGGGAUACGUGUGGAAAGCUCCGGCGGUGCAGGAUGAGCCCGCGGCCUAUCAGCUUGUUGGUGGGGUGAUGGCCUACCAAGGCGACGACGGGUAGCCGGCCUGAGAGGGCGACCGGCCACACUGGGACUGAGACACGGCCCAGACUCCUACGGGAGGCAGCAGUGGGGAAUAUUGCACAAUGGGCGCAAGCCUGAUGCAGCGACGCCGCGUGAGGGAUGACGGCCUUCGGGUUGUAAACCUCUUUCAGCAGGGAAGAAGCGUGAGUGACGGUACCUGCAGAAGAAGCGCCGGCUAACUACGUGCCAGCAGCCGCGGUAAUACGUAGGGCGCAAGCGUUGUCCGGAAUUAUUGGGCGUAAAGAGCUCGUAGGCGGCUUGUCGCGUCGGAUGUGAAAGCCCGGGGCUUAACUCCGGGUCUGCAUUCGAUACGGGCAGGCUAGAGUUCGGUAGGGGAGAUCGGAAUUCCUGGUGUAGCGGUGAAAUGCGCAGAUAUCAGGAGGAACACCGGUGGCGAAGGCGGAUCUCUGGGCCGAUACUGACGCUGAGGAGCGAAAGCGUGGGGAGCGAACAGGAUUAGAUACCCUGGUAGUCCACGCCGUAAACGUUGGGAACUAGGUGUGGGCGACAUUCCACGUUGUCCGUGCCGCAGCUAACGCAUUAAGUUCCCCGCCUGGGGAGUACGGCCGC